UACGGGGGGGGCAAGCGUUGUUCGGAAUUACUGGGCGUAAAGGGCGCGUAGGCGGUUCGCUAAGUUGGAUGUGAAAACUCUGGGCUCAACCCAGAGCCUGCAUCCAAAACUGGCGGGCUAGAGUUCUGGAGGGGGUAGCGGAAUUCCUGGUGUAGCGGUGAAAUGCGCAGAUAUCAGGAAGAACACCCGUGGCGAAGGCGGCUCUCUGGAACGCAACUGACGCUGAGACGCGAAAGCGUGGGGAGCAAACAGG
rnacentral:rRNA from 1 species